rnacentral:rRNA from 1 species
CCUACGGGAGGCAGCAGUGGGGGAUAUUGGACAAUGGGGGAAACCCUGAUCCGGCGACGCCGCGUGAGUGAAGAAGUAUUUCGGUAUGUAAAGCUCUAUCAGCAGGGAAGAAAGAAAUGACGGUACCUGAGUAGGAAGCCCCGGCUAACUACGUGCCAGCAGCCGCGGUAAUACGUAGGGGGCAAGCGUUAUCCGGAAUUACUGGGGGUAAGGGGAGCGUAGACGGUAAUGCAAGUCUGGAGUGAAAGGCGGGGGCCCAACCCCCGGACUGCUCUGGAAACUGUGUAACUGGAGUGCAGGAGAGGCAGGCGGAAUUCCUAGUGUAGCGGUGAAAUGCGUAGAUAUUAGGAGGAACACCAGUGGCGAAGGCGGCCUGCUGGACUGUAACUGACGUUGAGGCUCGAAAGCGUGGGGAGCAAACAGGAUUAGAUACCCGGGUAGUC